GAUGAACGCUGCCGGCGUGCCUAAUACAUGCCAGUCGAGCGAACAGACGAGGAGCUUGCUCCUCUGACGUUAGCGGCGGACGGGUGAGUAACACGUGGAUAACCUACCUAUAAGACUGGGAUAACUUCGGGAAACCGGAGCUAAUACCGGAUAAUAUAUUGAACCGCAUGGUUCAAUAGUGAAAGACGGUUUUGCUGUCACUUAUAGAUGGAUCCGCGCCGCAUUAGCUAGUUGGUAAGGUAACGGCUUACCAAGGCAACGAUGCGUAGCCGACCUGAGAGGGUGAUCGGCCACACUGGAACUGAGACACGGUCCAGACUCCUACGGGAGGCAGCAGUAGGGAAUCUUCCGCAAUGGGCGAAAGCUUGACGGAGCAACGCCGCGUGAGUGAUGAAGGUCUUCGGAUCGUAAAACUCUGUUAUUAGGGAAGAACAAAUGUGUAAGUAACUAUGCACGUCUUGACGGUACCUAAUCAGAAAGCCACGGCUAACUACGUG
rnacentral:rRNA from 1 species